GUGAGUUUUUGGUCUGCAGGGGUGGUGGGUUGGGUGUCCAGAGUAGUGGGUGUGGGAAAGCUGGCAUUGCCCCCGUGGGGAUUUUCUUGCCUUUUCCAGACAUGACAUCCAGCGCAGACAUCCCGGUCGACAGCGCGGAGAUCGAUGAUAUCCUGACGUGGAUCAGCAACGGUGAGUUCAGGGGCUGCAGAGCAGGCGGGGAUGUCUGCUCCGAGUGGCUGUGGGAAAGCUGGCAUUGCCCCCUUGGGGAUUUCUUCCUUUUCCCAGACGGGACACCCAGCUCAGGCAUUCCAGAUGACAGCCUGGAACUCGACGGUUUGCUCAGCUGGAUCGUUGGUGAGUUCAGGGGCCGCAGCGGUGGCGGAUGGAUGUCCGCGCCGAGUGGCUGUGGGAAGGCUGCCGUCCUGGUUUUGGGGGAUGUUCUUUGUUUUGCAGAAGCGUCGAGUCCUCGGGAGGUCCCCCAGCAGGCGUUCCCAGCCGUCCCCAGCAGGCUCAGCACCUCUCCUUUCAUCAGAGCCCUCCGUGACCGUCCCAGCGGCAGCAGGGAGCUCAGCGGAGAGGCGCAGGCUGACGCCGGGCCCCUCAGCGAGCCGUUCUCGGGGCAGCCAGCAUCCUCUGGGCAGCUCUCUGAGCCGCUGCCCCGCGGGCAUCUGAUGGAAGAGGCGCGGCAGAGGCAGCCCCGGGUGGUUCUCACCCGCCUGGCACUGCCGACCCCCCUGGCUGCCCCCGCACCUCUGUUGCCCCGCACUGCACAUCUGAUCCAAGAUGUGCAGCGGAGGCAGCCCCGGGUGCUUCUCACCCGCCUGGCACUGCCACCCGGCUGCAUCUCCUGCCACGUGCCCCACAACCACCGCGGGGACGGCAGCGAGCCGGCCGAGUGCCCAACGCCCGCAUGCACCACCAGGAAAGGCAAGAGCAGAGGGCACGAGCAGC
rnacentral:lncRNA from 1 species